AGUGAACGCUGGCGGUAGGCCUAACACAUGCAAGUCGAGCGAGUGGCGGACGGGUGAGGAAUGCAUGGGAAUCUCCUCUGUCGAGGGGGAUCACGACGGGAAACUUUCGCUAAUACCGCAUACGAUUGAAUGAGCCGUUGUCGGAUUAGCUAGUUGGCGGGGUAAAGGCUCACCAAGGUGACGAUCCGUAGCUGGUCUGAGAGGAUGAUCAGCCAAACUGGAACUGAGACACGGCCCAGACUCCUACGGGAGGCAGCAGUGGGGAAUAUUGGACAAUGGGCGCAAGCCUGAUGCAGCCAUGCCGCGUGGGUGAAGAAGGCCUUAGGGUUGUAAAGCACUUUAAGUUGGGAGGCGUUACCAACAGAAUAAGCACCGGCUAACUCCGUGCCAGCAGCCGCGGUAAUUC
rnacentral:rRNA from 1 species